rnacentral:snRNA from 1 species
AUCGCUUCUCGGCCUUUUGGCUAAGAUCAAGUGUAGUAUCUGUUCUUAUCAGUUUAAUAUCUGAUACGUCCUCUAUCCGAGGACAUUAUAUUAAAUGGAUUUUUGGAGCAGGGAGUCGGAAUANNNNNN